GGAUCGAUGACGACCCCCUCACACUGCAUUCCUUGGAAAAGCUGAACAAAAUGAGAGAACUCCAACCAUUGUCGUUCUCAUUGGAUCUGAGGUCC